rnacentral:lncRNA from 1 species
UCAGAUGAUGCAGUGAAAGCUCUUCAUGUAAAGGACGGCACUGUUUCAUUGGAAAGAUGUGAAUUAAGCAGAUUCCAUGCCAAGCUUCUCAAUCCCACCUUCUCAUUCUUGGCAAUUGUUGUAGAGGUGCAACAGUACCUCACCAUGAAAUUUCACUGUGAAACUUUGAUUUAUCGCAACAGAAUAUCUCCUCUUAACCUUCAUGUGUACCUGAUUUUAAAGGAUAAAAGACUUAAGAAGAAAGUGGAGGAGAAGGAGACAAAUAAUAUGGAGAUUUUAAAACCAACUCCAGAUGAAGCCCUUAAAAUCGAUGACAGUUACACCCUGAAGACAUCUGGUGGCUCCAAAAUCAAACCUUCGAGUUUAAAACUGACACCCAACAAGACCAACUUCUUUGAUUUACACAUUCAAGAUGCAAAUGAACCAAUUGAACUCUGUAUAAUGACAAAAGAGGGCCAACAGAUAUGGGAAGUUAAUAUCGAAUCAGGUAAACAACCCACACUAACUUGCAAAUCUCUCUGCAGAUCAGCUGUUAAUCUUGUAUAUUUAAU